UACAGAGGGUGCAAGCGUUGUUCGGAAUUACUGGGCGUAAAGGGCGCGUAGGCGGCUUUGUAAGUCAGAUGUGAAAGCCCGGGGCUUAACCCCGGAAGUGCAUUUGAAACUACAAGGCUUGAGUGCAGUAGAGGUUGGUGGAAUUCCCAGUGGAGAGGUGAAAUUCGUAGAUAUUGGGAGGAACACCUGUGGCGAAGGCGGCCAACUGGGCUGCAACUGACGCUGAGGCGAGAGAGCGUGGGUAGCAAACAGG
rnacentral:rRNA from 1 species